rnacentral:ncRNA from 2 species
UACGUAGGUGGCAAGCGUUAUCCGGAAUUAUUGGGCGUAAAGCGCGCGUAGGCGGUUUUUUAAGUCUGAUGUGAAAGCCCACGGCUCAACCGUGGAGGGUCAUUGGAAACUGGAAAACUUGAGUGCAGAAGAGGAAAGUGGAAUUCCAUGUGUAGCGGUGAAAUGCGCAGAGAUAUGGAGGAACACCAGUGGCGAAGGCGACUUUCUGGUCUGUAACUGACGCUGAUGUGCGAAAGCGUGGGGAUCAAACAGGA